rnacentral:rRNA from 1 species
GACGAACGCUGGCGGCGUGCUUAACACAUGCAAGUCGAACGGAAAGGCCCUGCUUUUGUGGGGUGCUCGAGUGGCGAACGGGUGAGUAACACGUGAGUAACCUGCCCUUGACUUUGGGAUAACUUCAGGAAACUGGGGCUAAUACCGGAUAGGGGCUCCUGCUGCAUGGUGGAGGUUGGAAAGUUUCGGCGGUUGGGGAUGGACUCGCGGCUUAUCAGCUUGUUGGUGGGGUAGUGGCUUACCAAGGCUUUGACGGGUAGCCGGCCUGAGAGGGUGACCGGCCACAUUGGGACUGAGAUACGGCCCAGACUCCUACGGGAGGCAGCAGUGGGGAAUAUUGCACAAUGGGCGGAAGCCUGAUGCAGCAACGCCGCGUGCGGGAUGACGGCCUUCGGGUUGUAAACCGCUUUCGCCUGUGACGAAGCGUGAGUGACGGUAAUGGGUAAAGAAGCACCGGCUAACUACGUG